ACGUAGGUGGCAAGCGUUGUCCGGAAUUACUGGGUGUAAAGGGAGCGUAGGCGGUUUGGUAAGUUGAGUGUGAAAUCUACCGGCUUAACUGGUAGGCUGCGCUCAAAACUACCAAACUUGAGUGAAGUAGAGGCAGGCGGAAUUCCCGGUGUAGCGGUGGAAUGCGUAGAUAUCGGGAGGAACACCAGUGGCGAAGGCGGCCUGCUGGGCUUUUACUGACGCUGAUGCUCGAAAGCAUGGGGAGCAAACAG
rnacentral:rRNA from 1 species